AGCGAACGCUGGCGGCAGGCUUAACACAUGCAAGUCGAGCGGGCACUUCGGUGUCAGCGGCAGACGGGUGAGUAACACGUGGGAACGUACCCUUUGGUUCGGAAUAACGCUGGGAAACUAGCGCUAAUACCGGAUACGCCCUUUUGGGGAAAGGCUUGCUGCCGAAGGAUCGGCCCGCGUCUGAUUAGCUAGUUGGUGGGGUAAUGGCCUACCAAGGCGACGAUCAGUAGCUGGUCUGAGAGGAUGAUCAGCCACACUGGGACUGAGACACGGCCCAGACUCCUACGGGAGGCAGCAGUGGGGAAUAUUGGACAAUGGGCGCAAGCCUGAUCCAGCCAUGCCGCGUGAGUGAUGAAGGCCUUAGGGUUGUAAAGCUCUUUUGGCCGGGACGAUAAUGACGGUACCGGAAGAAUAAGCCCCGGCUAACUUCGU
rnacentral:rRNA from 1 species